GGUUCAUUCAAAUUUCUGCCCUAUCAACUUUCGAUGGUAGGAUAGUGGCCUACCAUGGUUUCAACGGGUAACGGGGAAUAGGGUUCUAUUCCGGAGAAGGAGCCUGAGAAACGGCUACUACAUCCAAGGAAGGCAGCAGGCGCGCAAAUUACCCAAUCCCGACCGGGGAGGUAGUGACAAUAAAUACUGAUACAGGGCUCUUUUGAGUCUUGUAAUUGGAAUGAGUACAAUUUAAAUCCCUUAACGAGGAACAAUUGGAGGGCAAGUCUGGUGCCAGCAGCCGCGGUAAUUCCAGCUCCAAUAGCGUAUAUUAAAGUUGUUGCAGUUAAAAAGCUCGUAGUUG
rnacentral:rRNA from 1 species